AGGCCUGGGAAUGAAAUAAAUUCAAAAUAUAAAUAAAUUACAUUUUGACAUUGUGUGUUUUGAAAAGAAUGUGAAUUAUUUUUUUUUUCAUUCCAUUACCGAAAUUCCAAGCAAAUCACAUUAGAAAAACUGUUAGUUUGGCUACGGCGAUUUUUUCCUUUCUCCAUCUAUCGCAAAACUGGUUUUAAAUUCAAAAUACAUGAGAUCAAAUGUGAACCCCUGUAAAUCAUCAAAAUACCGAAAAAGCGGCAUGUUAAAGCCAAGAUUGAAAAGACUAUUCACGGAAACUAGAAAUGUAGAGGAACACCGUUGUAUCGGAGCUCCAGUGGGGUUUGAAACAUAAUGAAGUUUUAUAUUUCAUAUUCAAGAGAAUUUAGUAAGGUAACGUACAUGGACAUGGAACGAGAGUCAAGUACAUAAGGACAUGUGCUAGGUGUAUGUUUGGCCUUCUUCUUUACUUUGACACCGAAUGACAAUGCGAAUGUUUUGCUGAUGGCAUUGCUGGUUUUGUUGCUGCCCCACUUUGUUUUUGUGGAACACUCUCAGAGGCCUAGUAAACUUGAUAUGUUUGGUGGUGUUCUCGUU